UUCCCCAUUUCUAUCGAUCUUCCCCUCUUUUAGUUCUAAAACUAUGGGUCUCAAGUUAAGGAAUCUAUCUGAGAAGGAACAAAAGAGAAUAGUGCCAAGAAGAGGUGAAGUUAAGCGUCAGAUCUUAUGCUCUCUCUUUCGCAGCAUCGGCGAUGUCUCCAAGUCCAUCAUCUCUUAUAUCUUUUGUUCUCGCAGCACGACCACUCUCUGAUAUUCCUCGUCCUAGUCUCAUCAUCUGCAAUUGCUGACUGCUUGGAGAUAUUUUAUUUUAUUUUUUAACAUUUUCAUACAGUUCUCCAUACUUUUUUUUUUCUAUUUAUAUAAGGGUUGUUUUAAUCUGAUCAUUUGUGCUAUAGUGUCACUUCUCUUUCCUUUCUUUUCUUUUCACCUUCCUUCUUCUUCUUCUUCUUCUUCUUCUUUUGUGUGUGUGUGUGUGUGUGUGUGUGAAAGCUCUGUCCAUCAUUGUUGUUGUGUCUCACAAGCAGUCGGAUGUGGAAUUUGGUGCCAUUCGAAUAGCAAAGUUACCGAAGGAAGGGGCGACGUGAAAUGACGUUUAUUAACAUGCCAACGUUAGAGCAUAAAUGGCUAUCUUGGGCCUUAUUCCAGUGUGUUCCUCAGGUUAUGACUCACGAGUUUUGGACCUCGCUAAGCCUAGAACAGAGUUCAGGCUAACCUAAAGCAUUGGAACUUGUUCUC
rnacentral:lncRNA from 1 species